rnacentral:rRNA from 1 species
UUUUGUAUAAUGGGUCAGCGACUUAUAUUCUGUAGCAAGGUUAACCGAAUAGGGGAGCCGAAGGGAAACCGAGUCUUAACUGGGCGUUAAGUUGCAGGGUAUAGACCCGAAACCCGGUGAUCUAGCCAUGGGCAGGUUGAAGGUUGGGUAACACUAACUGGAGGACCGAACCGACUAAUGUUGAAAAAUUAGCGGAUGACUUGUGGCUGGGGGUGAAAGGCCAAUCAAACCGGGAGAUAGCUGGUUCUCCCCGAAAGCUAUUUAGGUAGCGCCUCGUGAAUUCAUCUCCGGGGGUAGAGCACUGUUUCGGCAAGGGGGUCAUCCCGACUUACCAACCCGAUGCAAACUGC